AUACACCAGCCUGGAUAACAAGGUUGUAAAUUGAGCAGUGUUUUGCCCUAAUACUGAGAGAUGCGUGCAAGGUUGUAAAUUGAGCAGUGUUUUGCCCUAAUACUGAGAGAUGCGUGGAUGAUAUUUAUACAUUAUCCUAUAAAAUCUAAUACACAUAGAUGCUUUAGUUGAGCAAGACGAAAAGGUAUACAAAUUAAAUGGUUAGACUACAUCAGGCUUUAACAAGGCAAGAAUAUACAUCUUAUUGACUACUAAUUAAUGAAAGCAUGGAAUAUUUUCUUAGGUGACAAACCCCUUUUUGGCGAAGACAUAACAAAGCUAGGUAUCUGGCAGUAAAUUCAGAGUCGGGUUCAUAAAAAUCGUGCUGCAUCCAUUUGCUAUGUUCAUUACUUCACGUAGUAGGAGAUUAUCUCCAAGAGAUUUCUUAAAAAUAAAAUACUCUCUAUUUUAAAGAGUCAAUUUUUAAAAUAAUGCUUCAAGAGACUUUUCAAAUUAACAUUUUAAAAUAGAGAUUGAGUUUGGCUCCGACCCUCCAAAUUUGAAGAGUCAAACCCACUCUCUGUAAUUAAAUGCAUUCUAAAUAUUUCAAUUUUCAAUGCU
rnacentral:lncRNA from 1 species